CAGCCUCAAGGAUGAACAUUACCUAAUACUGAGAGCAGAGGUAGAUUCUGCUGCUUUUCCCUGAUGGAAGUAAGGGUACUGUGAGCAAUGCCUGAGCCUUUGCAGCAUUUCUUGAGUGCUGCAGGCAGGACGGGGGCUCUUGCAACCAUGUCACCUUGUGGCUGGUUCCACAUCCACCUGCUGAAAGCAGCAACCUACCAAACCAUGCUGUGGUGUGAAAGGGGCCUGUCUUCCUACCUUCAUGCUUUGAUUAUUUAUAGUUAAGCACAGCAGGUGAGCUCUCAAACAAGAGGUAAGACCUCCUACUUAGAGGUCUUUACAAUACCUGCUUCAGACAAAAGAUUUCUGGUUUUGAUAGGUGAUCAUUUGAUAGGUGAUCAUGUGCAGCAUGAAAACAGCAUUGUUUGCAUGUAUGAAUCCUCCUUCAUUGAAAUCCAAGAACCAUUCUUGCUUGAACUAUGUGCAAAAGGAAUCUGGGAUUAAAAAGGGCCUCAAGAGCAAAGAGGAACAAGGGACAAUGAGAGAUGUACCUCUCAGCAAGGCUUCCACAGAGAAGCCUCAAUUUAUGUGAAAGGUGAAAAAGAAUAACAGGAUGACUUCAGCAUUGGCUUGUGAUGGGUGAGGGAGGGCCCUUUUCAUCAUAGUCUGGCAGAGAAACCUAUAGCCUCAGAAGAGAGAGGAACUACAGACCUUACUUCAGAAAUAUAAGUCCUUUUCUAAUAAAUGGCUGAAAAUGUAGGAGUUCCUAAAGAAAGUCAGCAUUCCCGAACCUCGUAUCUUUAGCUCUUUUCCUGCCUGACAGAGUGCUGGUAAUGCUUUCACUCUGCUGCUUUACUCAAUCUCCUGUACAUUUCAGGGAGGGGGAGAGCAAGCACUGUUACCUUACACAGAAAGGUCAAAAACCAGCUUCAAGACCUGUGCCAGCAAUAGCUGGAAGCUAGGGCAGUUGUAGAGCUUUCUGUUGCUGGAUGACCCCAGUCUGAGAGAAGAGCAGGGUAGGGCUACUGGUGUUAAAGGCACACGCAUUCUGACUGAAGGAGUUUUUUUCCUGAGGCUUGGUUCCAGUAACAGAUGCAUCUUGCCUAUCUUGAGCAAUGCAUGUAGUCACCUAAGCCCUGUUUAUAGUCAGCAAGGAUAAAUAAGCGUGUCUGGAGGGCAGUUCAUCCCACCUGUGUUAAUUUGGGGGAGGUGGGAGUGGAGGUGGUGGAAAUAAGUGCCUCUGGGAAUGGCCUGCCCACUGCUGCUGACCACACAGGGAGCCCAGGCAACUUUCUGGGGCUGCUUUUUGUCCAUGGGAGAAGUCUGAGUAACAUAGUGCUGCCUAUGCUUUUGAUUAGGCUGAAACAAGGAAGUACUGAAAAACAAACAAACAAAAAACAUGAAAGAAGCUGAUGCCUUGUUGUUCUCAGACUGAAGCCCCAAACAUUAACCACGUAUUGCAAAAGUUUCCUCAGAAGCCUCAUGGAAGAUUCAUGAUUCCCAGGAAUUGCAAUUUCUUAGAAAAAGAUGCAGCCGAAUAUUGGAAGUUAUAUGACAAAAGUUAAAUUUCAUCAUGUCUUGUUUACACAAGGCCACUCAGAUUCUG